GGGUAACGGGGUGUUAGGGCACGACACCGGAGAGGGAGCCUGAGAAACGGCUACCACAUCCAAGGAUGGCAGCAGGCGCGCAAAUUACCCAAUCCCGACACGGGGAGGUAGUGACAAUAAAUAACAAUACGGGGUUCUUUCGGAUCUCGUAAUUGGAAUGAGUACAAUUUAAAUCUCUUAACGAGGAACAAUUGGAGGGCAAGUCUGGUGCCAGCAGCCGCGGUAAUUCCAGCUCCAAUAGCGUAUAUUAAAGUUGUUGCAGUUAAAAAGCUCGUAGUUGAAUUUCGGGGUUAGUAGGUUGGUCAUGCCUCUGGUAUGUACUGGUCUCACUGAUUCCUCCUUCCUGAUGAACCGUAAUGCCAUUAAUUUGGUGUUGCGGGGAAUUUGGACUGUUACUUUGAAAAAAUUAGAGUGUUUAAAGCAAGCUAACGCUUGAAUACAUUAGCAUGGAAUAAUGAAAUAGGACGUUCGAUCCUAUUUUGUUGGUUUCUAGGAUUGACGUAAUGAUUAAUAGGGAUAGUUGGGGGCAUUAGUAUUCAAUUGUCAGAGGUGAAAUUCUUGGAUUUAUUGAAGACUAACUACUGCGAAAGCAUUUGCCAAGGAUGUUUUCAUUAAUCAAGAACGAAAGUUAGGGGAUCGAAGACGAUCAGAUACC
rnacentral:rRNA from 1 species